AGCAGCCGCGGUAAUUCCAGCUCCAAUAGCGUAUAUUAAAGUUGUUGCAGUUAAAAAGCUCGUAGUUGAAUUUCGGGAUCAAGUCGUCGGUCGUGCCUCGGUACGCACUGGUGACAUUGGUUUCUCCCUUCUGAAGAACCUUGAUGUCAUUAAUUUGGUGUCUUGGGGAAUCAGGACUGUUACUUUGAAAAAAUUAGAGUGUUUAAAGCAGGCUCACGCUUGAAUACAUUAGCAUGGAAUAAUGAAAUAGGACGUUUGAUUCUAUUUUGUUGGUUUCUAGGAUCGACGUAAUGAUUAAUAGGGAUAGUUGGGGGCAUUAGUAUUCAAUUGUCAGAGGUGAAAUUCUUGGAUUUAUUGAAGACUAACUACUGCGAAAGCAUUUGCCAAGGAUGUUUUCAUUAAUCAAGAACGAAAGUUAGGGGAUCGAAGGCGAUCAGAUACCGUCGUAGUCUUAACCAUAAACUAUGCCGACUAGGGAUCGGAUGAUGUUAAUUUUUUAAUGACUCAUUCGGCGCCUUAC
rnacentral:rRNA from 1 species